AUUAUUUUCUUCACAAGAACCAAGUUGGUUCCCACAGAAACACAGAGAAACUUUCACAGGGAAAAAAGCACAUCAGCGCCCCAUGAAAUGUCCAUGUUUGGCUUUGAAUCUUGUCAGAUUAGGUGGAGAAAACAAUGUUGAGAAUUUUCCAGUUCAAUGACUGCGUGGUUUGGUGCUGUUGCUCUGCAGAUUUGGUAGAAUGCAAUAGGGAUGGGGGGAGUUUCUCCCUGCUUUUCCAGCCUCUGCCCUAUUUCUCAUCCAGCUGGCCCCAUCCCACCGCUCUGUGCCAGGCAGACUGCCUUCCUCCCCCUUGCUCUGCAUAAUCUUUUUUCCCUCUUUUUGUUGCUGACUUGGAGUGCUCUAUUUCAGCUGCAGGAAAAAUCAAGAGUGUGACAGCAACGGAGCUGAAUCCUUUGCUGAGGGCUCUCCUGUUACAUCUGCAGCCAUUCCUGGAAGGUGGUGGGAAACCAGAGCCAACCCAUGCCCCACUUUUUGGUGCGCAUGCAGCACCCACCUGCUUUCUGCUGCCAUGGUAAGCUCUGUGCUGGAAUAUCAGCCCACACUUGGCUCCGCUGAUUUAGGCUGCAGUGGAUAAUUUCUAAUCCCUCUAUUCAGAGAGUUUGAAGGAACAGGAGGAGAAACAUAUGGCAUAUGCCACCUCAGCUCCCAGGAGGUGUGGGGUUGUUGUCCUGGCAGCUGUUGGGGUAAUCCUUGUCCUUCUGUCUGCGCCCAUGUCGGAAAGGUGUGCCCGGAGCACCUGGGCUCUGCCUGCGAGCAGUGGGCUCUGCUCCUGGGCAGGGCUGAGUGCAGGAGCCUGGGUGGUUGGAGGCUGCUUGGGCCCAAGAAAGCCCAUUGUGAGAUGUGUUUUUGAUGUGCCGUCGUUGCUCACUGGCCUGGCCCCAUCCUGACCCCACUGCAGCCAACGGGAGCGGUGGCGGUGGGACGGCAUCACCUCUGCUUCCUUCGUUUGUUCCUCCUGGGCCCGUUCCGUCUGUCCCAGUCUCACUCUCUCGCUGCAUCGCCCGCUCUGGGCACCAUCUGGUGGGGUUUGCUGUGUCUCAUCUCACCAACUGUCGUCUGUCCUGUGGCUGUGGUGGAAACGCGCUCGCAUUUUGCAUCAAAGAACCCCUAAACCAUUCACUCUGCGGGCCAGCCGGCCUGUCGGAGAGGAGCCAAGCUGUUGGCACUCAAUAAGCGACAAGCAUUAAUAAAAGCAUUACAGUGAGGUUAGUGCCUCAUUAAAGUGAUGCUAACGAACCGGCUGUCUUCCAGAAGUAUGAAAUUUUAACUAAGACUUCCUCCUUCUAAUUUUAUAUAUAAUUAAAUUGGUGUAGAGAGGCAAUAUUCACUUCUCCAGGCUGCUGCAUUAGAAGCUGAGCCAAAUUCACAGGAGUUGCUCUGGAAGUGUACCAGAGCUCGUGGGAGCAGCCUGCAGCCGCGCAGGGCACACAGGGGUGCUGCAGCAGAGCUGUGCCUGUGCCCUCUGCCCCAGCACUGCCCAGAUUUGCUGCAGGCUGCAUCCACCUGAGCUGCACAACGCUGGACCCACAUCAUGCUGUGCUCCGGCUCUGGAUGAUGUAGGGCAGCAAGCCAUUAGCUUGUAGAGAUGCUGAAAUGAAAGUACAGCAGCACACGUCUCGCUGCUUCUGUUCUUCUACAGAUGUGCCAGGGAGGAAGGAUUCACACGGAGCCGAAGUGCCCUACAUCAUACGAGCAGCUUCCAAGCUUUGCUGGGCAGCUAGCACUGAGUGUGGGCUGGGAACUGCUGCAUCUUGGCCAAGCAUCUCCUACAGGGAGCAGCACAGAUCUGCACCGGAGGGGUUUUGCUCUGAGCCCUCCCACAGCCUCCAGUGCCCCUGGGCCCGGCUGCAGGCCCCCAACAGCCCUGGCUGCCCGCAGAGCCCCACGGCUCCAUUGUGAGCAAAUGAAUUCUGCCCGGCCCUGAGGAGAGCCCUGCUCUCAGCAAGGCUUGGCGGCGGCAGUGAGGAAAGCAGCUGCUCCAAGAUACACAGCCACCACCCCCCCCCCCCCCUUUUUUUUUUCUCUUUUGGCUGGUUUUAGCAGCAGUGUUCCCAUGUGAUGGGCAUGUGAGCAACGGCUCUGCUGGGAGCAUCUUGCUGGGCUGGCGGCCGAAGCUGCUGCAUUCUGUCCAUGUGUCCACAGCUUCACAGCUUUUCUUCCUCCCCUCUGUCAGGUUUUUAUUCUUGCUGUCUCCCUGAUUCAGCCGCUGUGUUGUUAAAGGAUGGUGUUUGGUGGAUGAAUUUUAGCAUGCCCCCUCUCCUGACAAGGAGGGUGUAGACUAAACCCAGUGGUUUUAAUGAUAAAUGUCACUUUCUUGAACAGAAACAACAAAUAAAUACAGUUUUGGCUCUGUUUAGAAACUUGUCUUGAUGGUCUGCCCAGGGGAAACGGUGGUGUAACACUGAACUUAAUGCCACACUGCUGCCUGAUUCUCCACUUGUUGCAGGGGCUGCCAGAGCUGAGAGCAGCUGCAGGCUUCAGCUGAAGGCUGUCCCUGCUGCCUCCUGAAGCUCCUGGGCUGGAGGGGCUGUGUGUGCCAGGCUGUCUCUGCCCGAGGCCACAGGAAGUCCCCGGUCUGGGAGGGUUCACUUCUCACUGCAGAAUUUCCUCCUCAUCGCAGGCGUUAUGGCAUAGAUUUUCUUCUUGCAGAGGCGCCAGCUUUGCAAACAAGCACUGUCCUCACUGCAGUGAAAUUAAUAGGGCGUCUGGAGCAAAGGUAAAACUCAAAUACAUAAGUAAAUGUUUGCAGGAUCAGGACCUUAUUCAGGCAUAAAUCAGGUAUCACCAGCCAACAAUGGAAUUACCUAAGUAUAAAAUCCCAUGUAAGCCAGUAAGAUCAGCUCCAAACCUGCUAUGAAUUUGCUUUUUGUUUCCGUGCCAAGAAUAUAUCACUUGUAACUGCUGCAAUCAGGUCUGGUCCUUUUUAUUUUCUUUUAAGUGCUUUUGGGCACAUUUAUUUCCCGUCAGCAGCAGAUAGGCACCGCCUGACCCUCCUUUCCUUGGGCAUGUCCCUGCCUGCUUCACCCAUGCUGAGCUGUCGCUAUCAGGAGGGGUUUUUCUUUCCUUGUCUAUUCUGUUGCUGCAUUCAGUAAACAAAGGGACACUGGUGACGAUCCCAAACUGUUCUAUUUGCCUGGGAACGGAGUCAACUAUUUGUUGGUCUUUUGUUGCCUUUUUUUUUUUUUUUUUUUCUUUGUAAACUGGUGACCGGUUUAACGUCCUGCCCAUACCUGUGCCAUUGCAGCACGGUGAUGCGGCAGGGCUUGUGAGCAGCUGGCACUGGGCAGGAGGAGGAAGCAGACAAGGCAGCGAGCUGCAGGUGGGAGGAAUCAGAUCAAACCUGAGGCCCAGGGCAGCACCGUCCCAGGACAGGGACAUUUAGCCUCAAAAUGUUGUUGAAAAUGGCCAGAAAGAUCCUCGUUCUGCCCUAUAGCAAAUGCUACCUGUGGGCUGCAAAGAUGCUCAAGAGGUCUAGAGGUCUGUGGAGGGAUGGUAGUGCCUGCCCGGUUCUGGAUUGUUGUUUUUAAUUAUGUAGCCAUGAUGACAUGUAAUUAAGAAAAGAAUCUAAUCUCGAUGGAAACUCAUUUCAAAAUGAAUAACUGCCUUCUCUCCCACCUUUCUUAGAAUGCAAUGUUUGGAUACCGCUGGCGAGGCGCUCGGGCUCUGGUAGCAUUUGUUUCCACCCACCUUCUCCAGUUUGCCCCAUGAAAGCCCUUGGCUGCCUCGGACAGACCCGCAGCUCCUGCAUGGCGCUGUGGGACAGCGGUGGGAGGAGCUGGAGCUGGAGCUGGAGCUGGAGCUGGAGCUGGAGCUGGAGCUGGAGCUGGAGCUGGAGCUGGAGGCUGCUCCUCAGGAGUCACUUGGGGCUGAAGAGCGAGGAGAAGCUCGUUUGUUAUGCAAAUAUCUGCUUCGGCCUGGCCUGGCAUAGACAGUGGAAAGCUCUUGAAUUAUUUUAAGCAGAGGACAAAAGUUCUUUCCCUCCCCCAGUCAUCUUGGAUCCUUGUUAAAACAAAACAAAACAGAAACCUCUGUGUGAACCAUCUGAGGAUGAUCAGUGCUCUGCUUUCCUAGCAGGGCAGUGCGGCCAGGAGCGCACAGGCACAGGGAAAUAGAACAAUUAAGACAAAAGAAUGUAUUGGAGGCAGACAGGCUUUAUUUUGUUUUGAUGACAGCACAAACAAAGCACCCUCCACCCUUGUCACCACCAGCAUGCUAGGGGCAGGCAGGCUGCAGGGGGACAGGGCCAUCCCUGGGCCACCUGCAGGGAGACCACCGGGCAGCCAUUCCAGGGAGCCACUUGGGAUGGCUGGUUUUAUGGCUGGUGUGGUGGUUGGCUGGGUUAGAUGGCUGGUUUGGGUGCAUGGAACACAAGUCAAGGAGCCACCCAUGCGUGUCUUAGAGGACAGGGCUGUCCCACCAUGGCACGAUGUGGGAGCAGCACCCUGGACACACUGUGCAUGUGUGUUAUCGCCGCCACCCGCCCAGCUGCUGGGGUUGGAGAUUACGGAGCUGCUCUUAUCAGCCUGCAGCCCCGCAGCCCCCGGGGCCCCGUUCACGGCCUGAUGCUGAAGAAAUAAGGCUCCAGGUUUACUUAGCACUCCAGCAUGCAAGAAGCAAACGUAAACACGAGCAGCUGAUGUUACUCAAGAAAACAAAUGGACGCUGUAUCUGUGCGCUCCCCAGUGUUUAUCCAGAGGGAGAGAUUAAACGGGAACCACUCAGGCGAGCUUAGCCCGAUUUUAAAAGGUCUUUUGAGUGUUGAACAUGUAAUAAGAUGCUCAGUGCUAUUUUUGAGGCAAGACGCUCCUCGCUGGUUUAUAAAAGGCCGUGCUCUCUGGCUUCAUAUGUCUAAAAGCUCCUCAAAAUCUGCUGCUGGGGCUCUGGGGCUCAUCAUGUCAAUGGGAACGAAUGCUGGGCUGCCCACCCACUUCCAAGCACAGGGCUGCAGCUCGCCUCUCGCCUUUCUGUGCUGCAUUAUUUCUCCUUAAGCUUCUUUCUUGCAUUGCUGAUGGAAGCUGAGUAGAGUAGCUCUUACAGAAAGAUGCAGAACACCCUUCUGUAAGCAGCCAACAGCAGUGAUGCCCACACGUGGGCAUUACCUCUGUGUCUCUGCCGUCACACAGGGCUGUGCAACACUGAAUUUAAACAUAACUGCAUAAAAUUACAUCUUUGAAUUACAUACAUGGAUUUUAACAUGUAAACAAGCAAACAGACAAUAUAUGCACAUUUAAAAAAAUCUCUGCAUAAUUCUUCAAAUGUUAUGUAUGAGUUUUAAUACCUACACAAGUAAAUGAAUGCAGUCGUGCACAUCUGUAGAAGAUAGGUGUCACCUCUGCAGCCCAGCAUCUGCUGGGGGCACAGCCCAGGUUCAGUGGCUGAGCAGUUUGUGGCUCUCAGGCUGUUGCCUUCAUUGCCCAGUUUCACCCUAAAGCACUGCAGCACAUGGAGCUCUGACCUCUCCAUGUGAGACAUCUCCACCUCCCCCCUCUCCACACCAUCCCCCAGCCCCAGUGCUGCCGGGCUUUGAGCACACAGCUGAUAAAUCUGAGCCUGUCAUUGCCCUCACACAGCGGGGUCUUAUCUGUGCUAUCAUCCCUUUCCAUGGCACACCUCUGUGCUCCCAGGUUUGUGCUGCACUGUCAGCACAGGGAUAAGGCUGUGGGCUGAGGACAGAUCCCCCAGUGAGGCCCUGGGAUGCCCCGUCCCAUGGGAAGUGUCGGAAGCAUCGAGGUGGCUCCGGUCCCAAGAAGAACCCAUUCCUCUGCUCCCAGAGGGACAUUCGCUGCUCCCCCACAUCAUCCCAGCGCUGUGGCUGUUCCUGCAGGCAUAGCACUAUCAGCAGCUGCGGGGCUAUCGGGCUGAGCAGAAGCUUUGCCAGGAACUAUCUCGAGCAGCACAUGACCGUGCCCGGCCGGCGAUAUGGGACAGGCAUGCGGCAGUCCCCCAUGCAGGCAGUUGACUUUGUUAUUCAGACUAUUUUAGUGAUGGGGUUUCUAAUCCCAGGCUUAACUUUUUCUUUCUCUCUCUCUUUUUUUUUUUUCUUUCCUUUUUUUCUCUCUGAACAAGGGAAUCUCUGCGCUGGCAGGAUUCAGAGAGGCACAAAGGAGGGAAAAACAAGUUUCGGCCAGAAGUGGGGAAAAAAAGAAAAGGAUGCUGUUAGCAUUCCCUGUGUGUGAGGGGGUAAAACCGUUUUGCUGUGAACUUUUCAUUUUAAAGGGCAAGUGCCACCAGCAUCCCUGCUGCCAUGCAACCAAACCCCACUUCAGGCCUUUCCCUCGCAGACAUGAAAUUCUGGCUUUGCUGCAGCAGCAGGGCUGCAUGUGGGCAACACUGCACUGCCUGAGCACCCCAGGAUGUCACUGUCCUUUGGGUCAGGCUGAUAGCCCUGGCGUGCUGUUGAGGGAUAUGCUGGAUAUGCUGGCAUUUAAGGCGAUGCUGACGUGUGACAGCAGGUGGAUGUGCUGCAGCUCAAUGCUCACCUGGAUAGCCCCAGUGUGAUGCUUUCCUAGGAAAAGCAUUUGCAUUUAUCUUGCAAAUGUGUGAGCACACAGGCACAGCUGCAGGGAGGUGGCCUGCACCAGCAUGGUGUGGCAGCCCAGCACAAGCUCUGGCCCCAGGACAACAGAAGCCACAUGGCACAGGGGGAAGAUGAGGCUCCAUCUAGCAAUGCGCACACACAAAAAUAAUAAUAAUAAUUAGGCCUUUAAACGAUUGCAAGGCAAUUUAAGCACUUUUCCUGACAGAUGACUCUUCAGAGGCCUUGGUCUUCUUACUGAGGGAGAGGCAGGUCCCAGGUGCAGGCAGCAGCCAGUGCUAAGCCCUGCUGCAGGACCAUACUGGGGCUUGGGGACAGGGUUGCUGCAGGGCCAGGCACCUCCAGCAGCUCCCAGCCCCAAAAUGUGCUCCCCACUAAACACUCAUAACAGGGAGAAGGAACUGCUGAAUAAUCCCCACCCCAAGAGGACUCCAAAGCCAGCAGCCAGGCUCCAAUCCCGCCGGCGCUGGGCUGGACGCGGUGCUCAGCUCUUACUCGUUUGGCAGCCCCACAGCUGUAUACAGAAAGUAAUUACUUAAAAAGGAAAUAAAUGUCACCCGCAUGGUUGUAAGUAAAACCCCAGGCAGAGCUAACAGAGCACCACCAGGCUCUGCAUUCUCAUGCAGUAUGAAGAAGGGAGGAAUGAGCUGUUUCCAUUCAUCUAGAUGGGCUGUUUACUCUGAAGCCUACUGAUGACGUUAGACAUGCCCGCUCUGUGCCUUUAACUUCAACAGGGCAGUUGAUCAGACACAGAACUGUCCUGCCUCUGCUUCUGUCCCACGGCACCCUCUUCCCCCAUCACAGCUUUAGGCAUCAUCACCUCUGAGCAGUAACACAACCUGCUGCCAAAGAUGCAACACUUCUUGGCACCAGUCCUGCCAUCGCCUUUGCAGAGAUUAAAUAGAUUGCUGGCAUGUUCAAACAGAAUCAUUUUAUUUACUUUUAAAAACAAAUAUUGGAAAUUUCUAAUUGUCAAAAUCUGAAAACCAAAUUUCUAAAGCAGGUCAGUGAGGUCAAGUCACACGUGGCCAUAUGAGCAAUGCACAGGAGGUUCAGGGGACGCAGGCACCUCUGCAGCCCAUAGGCUGAGGCAGGGCUGGGGCAGAACACUGCCUGCUGCCUGAGAGCUCUGGGCUGAGAUGGGAUGGCAGCUGCCUGGCUUUGCACUGAGUUCUGCACGAGGUGUAAGCACUGCUGCACAGGCUCAGCAUCCACCUGCCCUGCUCCACACAGGGUGGCUGUGCUCAAGCACUCAGGCUGAGCACAGCCCCAGCACGAUGCUCCUGGAGCUCAGAAAGCCCCAGCUGCCGAGAGCCACAGGUGACGUGGGAGACACAGAGCAACAACCAGUGCAUGCUGUACCCAGGCAGUGACCACACAAUGCAGCUCUGGGCUGAGGUCUCACCCUGGAGCAUCACAAAGGCAAGCUGCAACAGCUUGGUUUGAUACACCCUAAUGCACUCCAGCCAAGCAAAUAUGACUCUGUAACAGUAUCCAAUCAUUUUAAAAGUUAAAAUAGUUUAUUGCUGUUCUUUGUAGAAAUGCACUUAACUUACAUUGCCUGUUCUCUUCCUUUAUUUGGCUGUUGCGUUAUAAGCAUAAAAAGGUCACGUUUACUCAUUUGUUCAGUGACAUAACACCUUUCUUCCUUUUGCUCCACUCAUGAUAUUCUCCUAAGCUUAGCUGGCCAACAGCCCCAAAUCUCUGACAUAAAUACUGUAAAUGUCUCCAUAGUUUGCAGCAUUGUAACAAAAGAUCUACUAAAGUAGACAAAAUGUUCGGUAUUCUUGGUUGGUUUUUUUUUCUUUUUUUGCAUUUUAAAAAUAUACCUAAAUUUGAGAUAAUCUUAACAGAGUAACAAUUACAAUAAGAAAAUAGUACAGUGCGUUGACUAAAGGAAUAUGCGGCCCUCCUUCGAGCUGAUAUUCCCUUUUGCAAGUUGAAGUGAUUCAGCAAUUACUUAGGAACUUUUAACUACGUACAAUAAUUUAGUAAAAUGAGAAUUAAACAAGGCAGAUACUUACUACUAUUCUUCUGUCUGCAAUUCACAGCUCAUGCGAAUAAAAUCGCAAUAAAUAUUAAAAAAUAGUUUUUCUUUUUCUUUUUUUUUUUUUUUUCUGUAAGGCAUCUCUGAGUAUUACAAAGUUUUUGUACAACCAAAAAAUAAGAUUGCUUUUUUCCACGUUCUCCGAGUACCUCUGUACCUCAACAGUAAAUAAGAAAAUUGCAGGUUCGAUGAGGAGGGCUGGGGGGGGGGGGGGGGG